rnacentral:rRNA from 1 species
GACGAACCGAGCGAACGUUGUUCGGAAUCACUGGGCUUAAAGGGCGCGUAGGCGGGCUCUCAAGUCCGGGGUGAAAUCCUCCAGCUCAACUGGAGAACUGCCUCGGAUACUGGGGGUCUCGAGGGUGGUAGGGGUAUGCGGAACUAUCGGUGGAGCGGUGAAAUGCGUUGAUAUCGAUAGGAACUCCGGUGGCGAAGGCGGCAUACUGGACCACAUCUGACGCUGAGGCGCGAAAGCCAGGGGAGCAAACGGG